GUUGGCUUGUUUUUUUUGUCGAAAGAGGUUGUGUUGAGAGCGAGGCCAGACACGUAAAAUCAGAUUUCUCAUUUGAUUAAUGAUUUAUAAGAUCAGCUUUCUCUUUUGACCAACGAUUCAGACACAGAUAUUGCUCUACUUCACUUUUCAAUGAAAUUUCCUAGAUGCCCAAUUCGAACCAAAUGUUUGACGCAUGCCAGAAAGGAAGCCAAAGUUAUGUAUCCAAAAUGCACAGGAGAGGAUAUCUACCGGUAUGUGCAGGAUGUUUCGCGCAGGGUUAUUCAGGCAAGACUUGGUGACCAAUUACAGAGAGGAGCUAAAUGGAGAUUGUUGUCUGAGGAUCAGUGAGACAAACCGUGUAGUAUCAAAAAACAAUAAACUGCAGAUGAAUAAAAAAGCCAAUUUUAUGACUUUAACUGGCCUCAAAAUCUUUCCCAGUGUAGGAGAACAAAGUGGAGAGACCACUGUUGGCACCCUUGAAGGACAUUUGAAUGGGUUCUCCUAUUCAACCUCCAGUCCUAAUUUCCAUUUCCAUUUUUUGUACAGGAAUGUAAAGAACGCUUUCUUUCGAUAUGAAGACGAGAAUAUGCUGCCUCUUUUGCACUUCCACUUGCAUCACCCCAUCAAGGUGGGGGCUGAAAAGAGACAGAAUGUCCAAUUCCAUCUGGUGCAGACUCCUGUUGGACAUAAGAGAUAUUAUAAUGAUUCAGAUAAGAUCGUUGGCCCUAAUGGCCCUAACAAAGAUUUAAAGAACUUUGUCCACAAAGUUCAAGCUAAAUGGAGUCAAUCUACCUGUAUUCCAUUAUUGUUAUCCAUUUGCUGGUGUUGAGCUUCAUAAGAAGGAUGAAUUUCAAGGAAAUCUUCCCUCCAAGGAAUGUAAAGAACGCUUUCUUUCGAUAUGAAGACGAGAAGAUGCUGCCUCUUUUGCACUUCCACUUGCAUCACCCCAUCAAGGUGGGGGCUGAAAAGAGACAGAAUGUCCACUUCCAUCUGGUGCAGAUUCCUGUUGGACAGAAGAGAUAUUAUAAUGAUUCAGAUAAGAUCGUUGGCCCUAAUGGCCCUAACAAAGAUUUAAAGAACUUUGUCCACAAAGUUCAAGCUAAAUGGAGUCAUCUACCUGUAGUCCAUUAUCGUUAUCCAUUUGCUGGUGUUGAGCUUCAUAAGAAGGAUGAAUUUCAAGGAAAUCUUCCCUCCAAGGUACCAACCAUCUUUGCCUUGAAUUUUUUUUUCACUAGUUGGGCUUGUAGAUGAACCUUUCGUUGUGGUCGACCUAUGUGACAUUGAGAUUGUUAAUCUGGCGAGGCUUAAACCUGGGGUAGUAGAUAUGACUAUUGUUCUUCGGGACUUCAAGCGUGAUCCAGUUCGAAUCAACUCAAUUCCCUUGGACUCGCUCAAUCUCAUAAAAGAUCGCUUUAACUUCGUGAAGGUGAAGUAUUUUGAGAAUUGUAAGGAUUUAAACUGGGAUUCCAUUGUGAAAGAGAGAGCAGAUUCCCCGGGAAAGUUCUACGCGAAUAAGGGAUGGUUUUCUUAUGGCCUUGAGGAUUUAGCUACUGCAAGCUUAUACAAACACUACUAUGCAGUACCCGAACUAAACUACUAUGCACAACGUGGGGAAUUUGACUAUUGUUUUUGGUCUGCAGUAUGUCCUCCUUGUGCGUAAUCACGCAUUAAUAUUCAUUAAUUAUGAUUGUCCAACGCAU